AACGUAGGGUGCAAGCGUUGUCCGGAAUUACUGGGUGUAAAGGGAGCGCAGGCGGACCGGCAAGUUGGAAGUGAAAACUAUGGGCUCAACCCAUAAAUUGCUUUCAAAACUGCUGGCCUUGAGUGGUGCAGAGGUAGGUGGAAUUCCCGGUGUAGCGGUGGAAUGCGUAGAUAUCGGGAGGAACACCAGUGGCGAAGGCGACCUACUGGGCACCAACUGACGCUGAGGCUCGAAAGCAUGGGUAGCAAACAGG
rnacentral:rRNA from 1 species